rnacentral:lncRNA from 1 species
GAAGAGUUACAACGAGAAGCCACGAAGGGUUGUAAGAAAAAUGUUUUCAUGCACACUCCUUUGCGACAAACACUUGAAGGGGGGGUCCGAAGAGAAAAUAAAGGUCUUUGCCCCAAAAGAUGCUUUGCAUGAAUACAAUGAUGAAGUGAUAAACAAACCACAAUAUAAGAACAUAACAACAAGUCACAAUUAUUCACAAGUAAACUUAUCACAUUUUUAUUACAUCAACUCAAUCCUCAUUCAUUACAAUCUCACAAGCCUCGGCUAAUACACAAAGAAUAGCAAUGUCAACGAUGCUCUCGGCCGUAACCCACAACUCUUCUUCGAAGGGCAUUUUUCCUGCAUCUUGUAUAUUAAUACACAAAAGGGUCAUUAGUGUCUUCUAUAUGAAUGGAGCAUUCGUUGAAUUCUCCACCUAUAUAUUAUCUACAUCAUCUAGAGACGAAG